ensembl:lncRNA
UCUGAUGUGUUUGAGGUGUUUCAGAGUGACGGCAGCCUGCAGACACAGAGGACCAGUGACGGAGAAGCAGCCCAGGAUUUUCUAUGUUUCUGCUCAAACCCAGACAGCAGAGAUCUGUACUGGUGGGAAGAAGCUGAGUGGAGUCCUGACUGGUUCCAGGAAACAGAUCACCUGUCUGAGCGUCCAGGAGUGGACUGGAAACUUUCUUCUUCUUCUUCAGCGCUUUGAAUAAAGUGAAGGUAGAAAGUGUGUGUGAGCUGCUGUGAGUUGAGCAGCAUGGAUGAGUGUGAGGACACUGAUCCAUGCGUUUCUCUACCAUAAGACGUCUGCAAAGAGCUUUCAGAGAAUUUAUCUACCCUACUACACACAGAGUACAUGUAUAUAUCAGUUCUCUAACAUUCCUUCUCAUUCAGUGCUUUUUAUUUAUUUGUGUUAUUUUCUACGUUGUAGAUUAAUACUGAAUAUUA